rnacentral:pre_miRNA from 1 species
UACUGUUUGUGGAUGGUGUUCAGCACUAAGGACAGACAUGUUCGUGUGUGAAUGGUGUACAGCACCAGGGACAUAUCUGUUUUAUU